GGGUGGUAAUGCCGGAUGCUCCAUCACACCGCAUGGUGUGUUGGGAAAGCCUUUGCGGCAUGGGAUGGGGUCGCGUCCUAUCAGCUUGAUGGCGGGGUAACGGCCCACCAUGGCUUCGACGGGUAGCCGGCCUGAGAGGGCGACCGGCCACAUUGGGACUGAGAUACGGCCCAGACUCCUACGGGAGGCAGCAGUGGGGAAUAUUGCACAAUGGGCGCAAGCCUGAUGCAGCGACGCCGCGUGAGGGAUGGAGGCCUUCGGGUUGUAAACCUCUUUUGUUAGGGAGCAAGGCAUUUUGUGUUGAGUGUACCUUUCGAAUAAGCACCGGCUAACUACGUGCCAGCAGCCGCGGUAAUACGUAGGGUGCAAGCGUUAUCCGGAAUUAUUGGGCGUAAAGGGCUCGUAGGCGGUUCGUCGCGUCCGGUGUGAAAGUCCAUCGCUUAACGGUGGAUCCGCGCCGGGUACGGGCGGGCUUGAGUGCGGUAGGGGAGACUGGAAUUCCCGGUGUAACGGUGGAAUGUGUAGAUAUCGGAAAAAAAACACCA
rnacentral:rRNA from 1 species